rnacentral:rRNA from 1 species
UACAGAGGUCCCAAGCGUUGUUCGGAAUUACUGGGCGUAAAGGGCGCGUAGGCGGCCUUCUAAGUCGAACGUGAAAUCCCCGGGCUCAACCCGGGAACUGCGUCCGAUACUGGAAGGCUUGAAUCCGGGAGAGGGAUGCGGAAUUCCAGGUGUAGCGGUGAAAUGCGUAGAUAUCUGGAGGAACACCGGUGGCGAAGGCGGCAUCCUGGACCGGCAUUGACGCUGAGGCGCGAAAGCCAGGGGAGCAAACGGG